UGGCUUCCCUUGACCUGACGUAGCGCCUCGUGACCUGAGGUGGGCGCUACGGUCCCCCUGGCGUCCGCGGAGGGAACUAAGGCCAGCUGGCUGGACCCGACCUUCAUCUGCCUCCGUCAGUCAGUGUUCUGGGCGCAGGGUCCAGGUGCAGACGUGGGGAGAAUAUAUAUUUAUAAAAAAGGAUGCAUUAAUGCUGAAUCAUCGCAGGACCAGGAGAAGAUUCGUGUCCUCCUGUGAUCGAUCUCAUAACCAAAGAGAGAAAUAAAAAAAAAUGAAAACAAGUGAACUCAUCGUGUGAAGAGAAAGGAAAAAAAGAAAAGAAAAGAUAGAGGAAAAGAAAGGAAAGGAAAUUUCAAAAGUGAUCCAACUAGCCCAGCCCCCCAUUGACCCUCCCCUCCCCCCUCUUCCCCUCCUGUUCUCUUACUCUCCCCCCCCUCUCCCCCUCCUACGGCUUUUGUUGUAGCAGCGCCAACCUGUAGCCGUCACGGGUCAUUUCCCAUCUUUUUUCUCUCUCUCUUAUUCUCUUCCCCCGUCUCUUCUCUCCUCAAAAUCCACCCAAUGGGCAGCAUCAGAUAA